AGGACGAACGCUGGCGGCGUGCUUAGCACAUGCAAGUCGAGCGGUAAGGCCCCUUCGGGGGUACACGAGCGGCGAACGGGUGAGUAACACGUGAGCAAUCUGCCCAUCACAUCGGGAUAACUCCGGGAAACCGAAGCUAAUACCGAAUACGACCACUUCAGGCAUCUGACGGUGGUGGAAAGUUCCGGCGGUGAUGGAUGAGCUCGCGGCCUAUCAGCUUGUUGGUGGGGUAAUGGCCCACCAAGGCUUCGACGGGUA
rnacentral:rRNA from 1 species